GCCUGAUUGGCUCAGUCAGUUAAGCGUCCGACUUUGACUCGGGUCAUGAUCUCAUGGUUUGUGGGUUUGAGCCCCAUGUUGGGCU
rfam:Felis catus isolate Cinnamon breed Abyssinian chromosome C2, whole genome shotgun sequence.